UCGGCCUCCUGGCACGGUCUUCCUGUGUACCAAGGUUCCCCACCUCACCAGCUGGCCUUGAUCACUUCAGAGACACACAGGGAGACUAUUCCUAUGGGUCCUGUUGAAACACCUGAGACAAGCCAGCAUCAGGACGUUUUAGACUUGAGCCAGAGUUCAGAGUCUCCUGAGCCACUCAAGAGGAAGAGAAAGAAGAAGAAGAAGGAUGCUGCACCUAAACAGAGGAACCCACAUGGCAGCUUUGAUUGGACCAGCCAAGAACACAGCACUACAGAGAAGUACAAGAGGAUAAUGUCACUGCUGAGGAAAGACGGGGUAGAGGUGGUGGAUGAGACAGGGACUAGGGGACUAACAGACACUGACAGUGAGUCUGACCAACUUGUGAAUCAAAUGAGGAGAAAGAGAGCAGUGAGUAAAAGAAAAAAAAAGAGCAUCAAAGUGAAAAAAGCAACAGUGAAAAGUAGGAGCCGAAACCAGGCUAACCGACUAAACCGAGAUUUUCAGCAAUCUGACAUAUCCUCAUCUCUGCUGGAGACACAUGCCGUUGGGCCUGCACUGAAGCGGUUAUUCUACCUACCAGCAGAGGGCAAUGAUGAGGAAGACCUGCUCACCGAAGUGUUGGAAGAGCUCUCAGGGGUUCCAAGAUACCCAGACCUCUCAGAGGAAGCUUUGAGCAACAUGACCCUUUCACAAUAUGCCACUCUCAUGAACAUGUUCCCCCAUCCGCAGCUUCCGCCCUUACCCGUACCCUCCUUCCUCCUUCUGCGACCUGACGUCGGCCCAGUCUAUAGAGAGACUCCAGAGUUACUCACACCAUCUAGCCACUGCGACUGGGUCACCCAUGGCAACCCCAGUGAUGCCAGCUACACCAAUACAGUUGGCCAUUUUGAGGACCACUAUCCUGCCUCUCCAGAACCUCAGCAGCCAGGUGAUUCCGACUACACCAAUAUCUACAGCAGUUUUGGCAACCCUUUAGCUAUAACUCCAGAACCCCUGCAGCCAGGUGACUACACCAAUACAGGCAACCAUUUGGAAGACCAAUACAUUGCCUUGCCUGACAAUGUGGUUAGCCAAUUUUUGGAGUCUGACUAUAUUUCCCCUGAGCCUGCCUCCUCCCCAGAGCCAGAGCUUCAGCCUUUAGUGCUGAGUGUAGAGAGGGAGCCAAUGAAGAGAGAGGCCCAGAGACUGAGGCAGCAGACAGCCAGGAUGACGUUAUAUUGCCUGGAGCACAACCCACUGGCCGACAGAGAGGACUUCACACUGGAGCGCUACCUGGACAUGUUCACUGACGGAAACACAGUGACUGUGACUACGGAACAUUAACCUCAGGAAAUUGUAUUGUGAUUUUUCACCAAUAAACAUUUGGAAUAAAGGCAACGCUCUGCUGUUGUUAAUUCUAAUCU
rnacentral:lncRNA from 13 species